ACUCUCUUCCCCCUUUUCUCAUCUCUCUCAUCUGUGAUUUGUAGUAAAAUGUGACUGCAAUAAAUACCUAGUCGUCCUUUGAGAUAAUAUUUCUUUUUUCACCAUGUUCCACAGUUGUGUUUUAUCUGUUAUUACUGUGGCACCCCACCCAACAGAGUAAACUCUUAGACGAUGAACCUUUUAAUCAGAAAAUUUGUAUUAGUAAAUCACACAUAUAUACUAUUAUAAUAAUUUUGUAAUGUAUACUUUAAACUUACCUUAUUAUCAACUUUGUUGAUAGAUGAUAUUGAUUGCUCA
rnacentral:lncRNA from 1 species